GACGAACGCUGGCGGUGCGCCUAACACAUGCAAGUCGAGCGAUGAGGCCCUUCGGGGUACGAUCAGCGGCGGACGGGUGAGUAACACGUGGGUCAUCUACCCCUUAGUUCGGAAUAGCUCCUGGAAACGGGUGGUAAUGCCGAAUGUGGCUGUUGUCGGUAACGACACUGGCCAAAGCUCGCAAGGGCGCUAGGGGAUGAGCCCGCGGCAGAUUAGGUAGUUGGUGGGGUAAAGGCCUACCAAGCCGACGAUCUGUAGCUGGCCUGAGAGGGUGGUCAGCCACACUGGGACUGAGACACGGCCCAGACUCCUACGGGAGGCAG
rnacentral:rRNA from 1 species